AACCCGGUCCUCCGCGUGACGGUAUCAUCCGAACCUCCCCAGGGCAGGAAUGCAGCAAGGAUAAGGGUGCGCUGCCGGGUGCGCGGAGGAUCCUCGUAUUCC
rnacentral:SRP_RNA from 1 species